GUCUUGGUGGCUCAGUUGGUUUAGAGCGUUGGUCUCAUACGAACAUGAUUCAAUCACAGGUUGGGCCAUCCAAAGGUCGUGAGUUCGAGUCUCACCCAGGACA
rnacentral:tRNA from 1 species